rnacentral:rRNA from 1 species
GAUGAACGCUAGCGGCAGGCCUAAUACAUGCAAGUCGAACGGGAUCCAGAUCAAAGCUUGCUUUGGUUUGGUGAGAGUGGCGUACGGGUGCGUAACGCGUGAGCAACCUACCCUUGUCAGGGGGAUAGCCCGGCGAAAGUCGGAUUAAUACCGCAUGAUAUCAUUGAGAGGCAUCUUUCGAUGAUCAAAGAUUUAUCGGACAAGGAUGGGCUCGCGUGACAUUAGCUAGUUGGUAAGGUAACGGCUUACCAAGGCUACGAUGUCUAGGGGC